ensembl:lncRNA
GUGGCCAGUCCUCUUCUGGCUGUGCCGGGUGGAGAUUAUAACAGAACAUGGCCAAGAUGUUCAAAUGUUCAUAAAUGACCAGCAUGUGUAACAGGUUAAAGGAAAUAUUCAUAGCCUGUUAUACAUUAAAAAGUAUUAGUAAGUUCAUAGUAUGUGAGGAUCUUAAAACAUCUAAGGUUAAGAAGAUGCAUUCAGUAUUAGUUGAUAGAGAUUGAUAACAUUCAUAUAAUUGUGUUAAAGUUAAAAUCUGUCAAAGGGUACGAAUUGUGAGAGUAAUGUGUAAACGUUAUAUUGAUUACUUUAUUUUGUGGUGCCUAAAAGUGUUCAUCUGUCAUCUAUGAAAUGCUCUUAAUCUAUGAGCCGGAGAUCGAUUGCUCUGGUCUCCACCCAUAUUCCUGGGGAAAAUCGCGGUAAUAAGGCAGAACAGUUGAAACUGGAGCAGCAGUACGGUAAGAUGGACUGGGGACAGCAAGGAGUCAUCAUGUCAGGUAGUCAUGGGGCAUGGUCCUAGGGCUCAGGUCCUCCGAGAGAGAGAAAGAAAGAGAGAAGGAGAGAAUUAGAGAACGCACACUUAGAUUCACAGGACACCGAAUAGGACAGGAGAAGUACUCCAGAUAUAACAAACUGACCCUAGCCCCCCGACACAAACUACUGCAGCAUAAAUACUGGAGGCUGAGACAGGAGGACACAAACUGGAAGUGCUGUCUUUGUUGUUGAAAAUGUAUGCUUUACCCCAUCCACACUGAAGAGGCUCUGAAAUGUACAUCAACCAGGGAUAAAGAGAAAGUCAACACUGUGAAAUGUUUAGUACUUAUUUGAAGUAAAGUGUCUGUUGACAUGUUGGAAAUUAAUAAAGAAUGGUCUACAAUUUAUGUUUAAUUUGUCAAUAUUCAAUUUUUAUUCAUUGAUUUACUGGCCACCAUUACUGUGGUUACAUGUUCAGUAUAUGUAUUAACCAGCAAACCCACUGCAGCCUACUUCAAGCUCACUCUCCAUCCCUGCUUUGGCCAAUUAAUAACAUGACUCUUGUACUUUUCCAUUUUCCUUUGUGGUUGAUAUUAACGAUGAAAGGGGAUAUUAUCUGUCUCUCUUCCUAUUGUGUACCACUGUUAAAUACUGUGGCAAAAAAACAGGGAAAAUAAGUACUUAGAACUACCAAUUAUUAUAGAUAAAUAUUAAAGAAAAGGGUUAACACAACACUGGACUGAACCCCCUAAUUGUCAAACUAAUAUUAAUGUACAACAAUAUAGAAGAUACAUGACUAGAGGUUAUGCAAUAUGGGUGUAUAUCCACUGCACGCUUCUUAGGUGUGUAAUUGACAUGACCAACGAGCUAUUGAAAUGUAAAACUAUGAAAAAUGUACGUUACACUGUGCGAUUUUACAGCACACAACAAGAGUGUGCAAUAUAUAAAGCUAGUUCUUGGACAUUCUGAAGUUUGUUUGAGUCCAGUAGGUCACAUGACCAAGGAGCUAUUUAAGUUUUAAAUUCUGAAAAAUGUAUGU